rnacentral:rRNA from 1 species
UACGGAGGAUGCGAGCGUUAUCCGGAUUUAUUGGGUUUAAAGGGUGCGUAGGCGGUCUUUCAAGCCAGAAGUGAAAGGCUACGGCUCAACCGUAGUAAGCUUUUGGAACUGUAAGACUUGAGUGCAGGAGAGGAGAGUGGAAUUCCUAGUGUAGCGGUGAAAUGCGUAGAUAUUAGGAGGAACACCAGUAGCGAAGGCGGCUCUCUGGACUGUAACUGACGCUGAGGCUCGAAAGCGUGGGGAGCGAACGGGAUUAGAUACCCCUGUAGUCCCUGA